ACGCCCGCCGCUCCCGGCAGCCUUUUCGGCCGGAGUCCGCCGGUCCGCUGCCUGGCCAGCGCUCCGCCUCACAGCCAGUCCCGGGGAGCUUCCGCGUGGGGCGCGGGCGUCGCGGGGAGCCCGGCGCCGGCGGAAGGGGUCGAUGGAGUGGCCUCGGCCCGGAGGGGGCGCCCCCGGGCUGGUGGCGGAGCUCGCCCGUCGCCCGCUGGAGGCCUCUGUGCCGGGGUCCCUGCGCUCCAUGUUGGCGCCCCAUCCCCUCUCACCCCUAAACUAAAGCACCUUCCCCGCCACAGGCCCCGUCCCCACCCCCGGCGUCUCCCCGUGGCCUCGGUUCCCUCGCUCAGCGCGCACUUGGACCCCCCCCAUCCUGCCCGCUCCAGCCCCGUCCGCUCGCAGCCCCAACGGGAGGCGGAGGCGGGGCGGCCUCGCGGGGCCGGGCCGGGCCUCCUUCCUGGGUUUGUUGCAGGCCCCGCGGCGGAGGCGGCGGAGGCGGGGGCCUGUGCUCGUCGCCGGGAAAGCCCGCGCGCAGCUCCGGGACUGUCGAACCCGCUGGCGGGUCUGCUCCGCCGGAAACGGCAGCGCAGAGGCGGGCAGAUGCCAAUCCCGCGGCCUCGUAACUGCAGAGCUCAAUAGAAACCCACCUGUUUAGAUUCUGGACACACAGAAUCAAGUGACAACAUGGUAGUGCGGCUACCCCCCGGGGGCGCAGAGCGGACAGGAGGCUGGUGAGCGGACGGAUGUCAUGCCUCGCGCAGCAGGUGCGUGGAAGUGGUGAGGACAUGCCACAGGCGUGCCUGGGAACAGAGGGGAGACCUCGGAGAGGCAGCUGCAUUCGUUUUCCAGGCUGCACACCAAACUGCCACCGGCUCGAUGCCUAAAACAGCACCUCCUUGUUAGCUCAUAGUUCUGUAGGUCAGCAUCCUGGCUGAAGUCAGGGUGUCAGCUGGGCUGAGUUCUCACCUGGAGGCCCUAGGAAAGAUCUGCUCCCAGCCUAUUUUUGUUGUUGGCAGAAUCCAGUUUCUGUGGUUGGGUUGAGAUGCCCAUUUUCUUGUGGGCAGUCAGCUGUUGACUUCGAGACCCACCAUCUCCAAAGCCGGCAACAGAUAA